rnacentral:rRNA from 1 species
GUUUAUCAAAAACAUAGCUUAAUGUAAAUAUAUUAGGUGAUUUCUGCCCUAUGAAUAAUUAAAUGGCCGCAGUACCUUGACUGUGCUAAGGUAGCAUAAUAAUUUGAUUUUUAAUUGAAAUCUUGAAUGAAUGGAUUAACAUGAAUUUUUCUGUUUUACUAGGAGUACUGUAAAUUUACUAAUAAGGUGAAAAUUCCUUAAUAUAUAUAUUAGACGAGAAGACCCUUAGAGUUUUUUAAUUUUUUUUUUGUUGGGGCGACAGAGUAACAUUUAACUUACUUAUAUGAACACAAUAGGCCAACUAUAGUAAGAAUGAUUAAGCUACCUAAGGGAUAACAGCAUAAUUUUUUAAUUAGAUUAUGACCUCGAUGUUGGAUUAAGAUAAAUAUUAUUAGCAGUAAUUAUUUAAAGUUCUGUUCGAACAUUUUUUUUCUUACGUGAUCUGAGUUCA